UUGGCGUCUUAUUAAUUAUCUGAAUUCUUUGUUAGCCCAAGUUUUAAAAGCUAAAUACUUUCCUAGAACUUCUUGAAUGCAUCUUCUAGUAACUUACCUUCACUUACUUGGAGGAGCAUUUGGUCAACAAAAAAACUUCUGAUGGACGGAUUAUGCUGGAGGGUAGGUGUAGGGGACCAUAUCUCCGUAUGAAAUGAUUGCUGGGUUUCGGGAGCAACUGAAGAUAGAUUACAGAAUAACAGCAGAAGUGAAAAUAUCAGAGUAGUGGCCGACUUAAUCAAUGCAGAGAGUAGAACAUGGAAAAGAGACUUGAUUGUCAAUACCUUUAAUACGGAUAUCGCAAGGAAGAUUCUGCGGAUUCCGCUUUCAAAGACUGCCGAAGAAGACAUCCAAGUAUGGAGAGGGGAGGCUACUGGAUUCUUUUCAGUUAGAAGCGCUUAUAAACUAUUACAGGAGUCAACAUUAGAGCCUAAUGAUUAUUUACAGACUGAUACAAAAAAUUUCUACAAGAAAUUAUGGAAUCUAUAGUUGCCCUCAAAAAAAUCAAAAUUACAGUAUGGAGAAUCACGUGGAAUUACAUAUCCACCUUCUCUAAUCUAAAAUCGAGAAGAGUAAUGACUGAGGUCCGUUGUUUGAGAUGUAGCCAGGACGAAGAAGAUAGCAUCCACGUCUUCCAAAGGUGUCCUAUAGCAAAAGAAAUAUGGAGUCAUUUGAACUUUUCUUGGGUACUUAAUGACAAUCAUGGUGAUAUAUGGAGUUGGCUUAUCUGGGUAUUCAGCAAAGGGACAAAUGAACAGUGCAUGGGAUUUUGUUGCGGGCUAUGGGGAAUCUGGACAAGCAGAAAUAAGUUUAUAUAUGAAGGAAAAUAUAGUACCAGUUGGGAUAUAUCCAAGCAAAUUCAAAGCUAUAUUUCAGAACUAGAAGGUGUUAAAGAAAGGGUACUCACUUUGGCAACCAGUACAAGGCCUAGACAGAGGAUACAAAGGGCGAAUAAGGCCAUCUUUUUCGAUGCGGCGUUUGAUUCACAAAACCACAUAUCUGCGUCAGGCCUUAUUGUUAAAAAUGAGGCGGGCAGAAUCGUUGGAGCAAAAUCGAUCCUUCAUGACAAUGUUGCAUCUCCGUUUGCGGCGGAAGCAUAUGCAGGAUUUCAAGCAACAAAGUUAGGGAUCCAGUUGAGAUAUUAUACUUUGGAUAUAAUAGGAGAUUCAAAAACAGUGAUAACAAAAUGUCAAAGUGGAAACCGGGACAGAUCAGAAAUAGGAGCAAUUAUCAGCGAUAUUCAAAGCUUAAAAGAUUUCUUCCAAAAAGUCAGAUUUUACUUCAACUCAAGGUCUGAAAAUAUUGAAGCACACAGACUAGCAAAAAGAACACUUCAGAUGGGAGUGGAACAGUACCUGGAGGGAGAGACCUUAAGAUCGAUUGGUGAAGACUCGGAGCCAAGCUGCUUGGGUAAUCCAGAGUAGAAAGGAAAGGGGAUAAGAUUUUGGCUUUUGGCAUCAAGAAAUAACGAUUGAAAUGAAAGGGAGGAUGCUGUUUGUAAAAGUAAUCUGAUAAGUAAAAGAUUUGAAAGGAUUUGCUUUUACUUUUCAGUUGUCUUGGGCAGAGGAAAAGGCAGAUGGAUUUAUGAACACAACUGACCGAUC
rnacentral:lncRNA from 1 species